rnacentral:rRNA from 1 species
AGACAGAGGGUGCAAACGUUGCUCGGAAUCACUGGGCGUAAAGCGGGUGUAGGCGGGUCGGCAAGUCUGGUGUGAAAGCCCUGGGCUCAACCCAGGAAUUGCAUCGGAAACUGCCGGUCUUGAGUGCCGGAGAGGGAGGCGGAAUUCCCGGUGUAGAGGUGAAAUUCGUAGAUAUCGGGAGGAACACCAGAGGCGAAGGCGGCUUCCUGGACGGCUACUGACGCUGAGACCCGAAAGCGUGGGGAGCAAACAGGAUUAGAAACCCCAGUAGUCC